rnacentral:rRNA from 1 species
UACGAAGGGGGCGAGCGUUGUUCGGAAUUACUGGGCGUAAAGGGCGCGUAGGCGGCCGAUCAAGUCAGAUGUGAAAGUCCUGGGCUUAACCUGGGGACUGCAUUUGAUACUGAUUGGCUUGAAUUCGGGAGAGGAUAGCGGAAUUCCCAGUGUAGAGGUGAAAUUCGUAGAUAUUGGGAGGAACACCGGUGGCGAAGGCGGCUUCCUGGACCGACACUGACGCUGAGGCGCGAAAGCUAGGGGAGCAAACGGG